rnacentral:rRNA from 1 species
UACCUGGGGUGCAAACGUUGCUCGGAAUUAUUGGGCGUAAAGCGCACGUAGGUGGUCCCUUAAGUCGGAUGUGAAAUCCCUCGGCUCAACUGAGGAAGUGCAUCCGAAACUGAGGGGCUAGAGUAUGGUAGAGGGCCGCGGAAUUCCCGGUGUAGAGGUGAAAUGCGCAGAUAUCAGGAGGAACACCUAUUGCGAAGGCAGCUCGCUGGGACGUAACUGACGCUGAGACGCGAAAGCGUGGGGAGCAAACAGG